rnacentral:rRNA from 1 species
CCAGACUCCUACGGGAGGCAGCAGUGGGGAAUAUUGCGCAAUGGGGGAAACCCUGACGCAGCAACGCCGCGUGAGUGAAGAAGGCCUUCGGGUUGUAAAGCUCUUUAAUCAGGGACGAAGAAUGACGGUACCUGAAGAAUAAGCUCCGGCUAACUACGUGCCAGCAGCCGCGGUAAUACGUAGGUGGCAAGCGUUGUCCGGAAUUACUGGGUGUAAAGGGAGCGUAGGCGGGAAAGCAAGUUGAAUGUUUAAGGUACGGGCUCAACCUGUACAAGCGUUCAAAACUGUUUUUCUUGAGUGGAGUAGAGGUAAGCGGAAUUCCUAGUGUAGCGGUGAAAUGCGUAAAUAUUAGGAGGAACACCAGUGGCGAAGGCGGCUUACUGGGCUUUAACUGACGCUGAGGCUCGAAAGCGUGGGUAGCAAACAGGAUUAGAUACCCUUGUAU